GACGAACGCUGGCGGCGUGCUUAACACAUGCAAGUCGAACGGAAAGGCCCUGCUUGCAGGGUACUCGAGUGGCGAACGGGUGAGUAACACGUGGGUGAUCUGCCCUGCACUUCGGGAUAAGCCUGGGAAACUGGGUCUAAUACCGGAUAUGACCUUCCAUGUAGUGUGGGGGGUGGAAAGAUUUAUCGGUGUGGGAUGAGCCCGCGGCCUAUCAGCUUGUUGGUGGGGUAAUGGCCUACCAAGGCGUCGACGGGUAGCCGGCCUGAGAGGGUGGACGGCCACAUUGGGCCUGAGAUACGGCCCAGACUCCUACGGGAGGCAGCAGUGGGGAAUAUUGCACAAUGGGCGGAAGCCUUAUGCAGCGACGCCGCGUGGGGGAUGACGGCCUUCGGGUUGUAAACCUCUUUCGACAGGGACGAAGCUUCGGUGACGGUACCUGCAUAGGAAGCACCGGCUAACUACGUG
rnacentral:rRNA from 1 species